rnacentral:pre_miRNA from 1 species
GGAUAUCAUCAUAUAUUGUAAGUUCACAAUUCAGACACUACAGUAUAGAUGAUGUACUA